rnacentral:rRNA from 1 species
GAUGAACGCUAGCUACAGGCUUAACACAUGCAAGUCGAGGGGAAACGAUAGAGAAAGCUUGCUUUUUCUAGGCGUCGACCGGCGCACGGGUGAGUAACGCGUAUCCAACCUGCCCAUCACUUGGGGAUAACCUUGCGAAAGUAAGACUAAUACCCAAUGAUAUCUCUAGAAGACAUCUGAAAGAGAUUAAAGAUUUAUCGGUGAUGGAUGGGGAUGCGUCUGAUUAGCUUGUUGGCGGGGUAACGGCCCACCAAGGCGACGAUCAGUAGGGGUUCUGAGAGGAAGGUCCCCCACAUUGGAACUGAGACACGGUCCAAACUCCUACGGGAGGCAGCAGUGAGGAAUAUUGGUCAAUGGACGAGAGUCUGAACCAGCCAAGUAGCGUGCAGGAUGACGGCCCUAUGGGUUGUAAACUGCUUUUAUAAGGGAAUAAAGUGAGUCUCGUGAGGCUUUUUGCAUGUACCUUAUGAAUAAGGACCGGNUAAUUCCGUGCCAGCA